AAGCUGUUAAAGUGCCGGGUUUCAUGUUUAAGAUGGCGUCCCCUGUGGCAGCGCAAGCUGGAAGGCUUUUGCGAGCCCUAGCAUUGCGGUCCGGCUUCCUGGUGGCUGGGUCCCAGGCAGUUCAAUUAACCUCCAAAAGAUGGCUGCGCUUGCAGGAAUACCAGAGCAAGAAACUUAUGUCUAAUAAUGGAGUGAGAGUUCAAAGAUUCUUUGUAGCAGACACUGUGAAUGAAGCUCUGGAGGCUGCUAAGAGACUAAAUGCAAAAGAAAUUGUUUUAAAAGCCCAGAUCUUAGCUGGAGGAAGAGGAAAACGUGUCUUUAAUAGUGGUUUGAAAGGAGGUGUUCAUUUAACAAAAGACCCUAAGGUUGUGGGAUAGCUGGCUAAACAAAUGAUUGGGUACAAUCUAGCAACAAAACAAACUCCAAAAGAAGGUGUGAAAGUUAACAAGGUGAUGGUUGCUGAAGACUUUGACAUUUCCAGAGUAACCUACCUGGCAAUUCUGAUGGACAAGUCCUGCAAUGGCCCUGUGCUGGUGGGCAGCCCCCAGGGGGGCGUCGACAUUGAAGAGGUGGCUGCUUCAAACCCAGAGCUCAUUUUUAAGGAGCAAAUUGACAUUUUUGAAGGAAUAAAGGACAGCCAAGCUCAGCGGAUGGCAGAAAAUCUAGGCUUGGUUGGGCCUUUGAAAAGCCAGGCUGCAGAUCAACUUACGAAGCUGUAUAAUCUCUUUCUGAAAAUUGGUGCUACUCAGGUGGAAGUGAAUCUCUUUGGUGAAACUCCAGAAGGAUAAGUUGUCUGUUUUGAUGCCAAGAUAAACUUUGACGACAAUGCAGAAUUCCAACAAAAAGACAUAUUUUCUAUGGAUGACAAAUCAGAGAAUGAGCCCAUUGAAAAUGAAGCUGCCAAAUAUGAUCUAAAAUACAUAGGACUAGAUGGGAACAUUGCCUGCUUUGUGAAUGGUGCUGGGCUCGCCAUGGCUACUUGUGAUAUCAUUUUCCUUAAUGGUGGGAAGCCAGCCAACUUCUUGGGUCUUGGAGGUGGUGUAAAGGAAGCUCAAGUGUAUCAAGCAUUCAAAUUGCUCACAGCUGAUCCUAAAGUUGAAGCCAUCCUUGUCAAUAUUUUUGGCGGUAUCGUCAACUGUGCCAUCAUUGCCAAUGGGAUCACCAAAGCCUGCUGGGAGCUAGAACUCAAGGUGCCCCUGGUGGUCCGGCUUGAAGGAACCAAUGUCCAAGAGGCCCAGAAGAUAACAACAGCGGACUCCCCAUUACUUCAGCCAUUGACCUGGAGGAUGCAGCCAAGAAGGCUGUGGCCAGUGUGGCCAAGAAGUGACGUCUUUGUCCUGAUCCGAUGGGGAAAGAAAGCCAUUUUUCCAUAAAAAGGGACGGUUCAUCAUUGUGAAAGAAACGGUUAUCUCAUUGUGGAGGAAAAGGGGGGAGAAGGCAAGAAUCACUGAAAAAUCUUAAAUCUGUGUUUUCUGGAAUAAUAUAUGUAGACAGCCUAAAUCUGAUUUUAGUAUAAAAAUAAUAUCUUGUAUUCUCAUACUUUUCUGUCAUUGUAAGCCUGCCCAGUAGGCAGUGUUUUGCAGACUUUGGGAAGUGGUCUAUGUGGCCAAAUAUUGUGUGUAUAGACAGAAUUUGAAAUCAGGUCCUGCUUCAUUUACAAGUAUUUUGGUGGGCAUCUAAUCCUACAUAAUGAAAAAGAAAAACAGACCAUUUAAAAACUCAGACAAGAUUAUAUUUAAUGUAUUAAUUGCUAAAAAGGCACAAGAUUGCACUGAACAUAUUAGCUACUAAAAAGGCACUGCCAAGACAUUCAAGCAAAUAGCUAUUACACACUGCAGCAGAUUUUACAGGUUUCUAAUUCCAACAUAUGUUUGAAAAAUCCAUGAGUGUUCCAAAAUAUAUUUGAUGGAAGGUCUGCAUUAAUAUACCAUUCAUGUGUUUUUACCAUUUGCCUUAAUAUUGAAUAUACUAUUUACCUCACACUAAAAAGAAAACCAGAAACCUUAUUUGUGAUUUUGGAGUGGAAGCUUCCAUUUUUGUGUCAAAAAUGAAUCCCGAUUCUUAUGGAAAUCUCUGUUAUUAAGUCAUUUAAAGAUGAGACAACACUGAAGAUCAAAUUGUGUUGGGUAUCAGGAUCUUCUCUCCUCAUUUAUCUCUUACUCCUCAUCCUCCCAGAAUCUACCAGUUUAUGGUAGAAAGAUGGGAACCUUAUUUGAAUGUUCGUUUUGUUUUGUUUUGUUUUUUUCCACGAUGUCUAAUUUUGUUGUGGGAAAGGAUUUGGAUAAAGUUUUUGUUAAAAUUUUGGUAGAUUUUUAUCUAUACAAAUUUAAAUAAAAUUAUGUUUUGUAAGCUGUUAAAAAAAAAAAAAGGCUGUUAGAACUGUCCUUGGAAGAACUGAACCAGAACCAGUGCAGCUGUGGUUGAGAUGGAAAGAUGAUGAUUUUGAGAUGUAU